AAACCCGUCGGCUGUCGGCGGACUGCUCGAGCUGCUCUCGUGGCGAGAGCGGGUCAUCGCGUGCCGGCCGGGGGACGGACUGGGAACGGCUCCGUACUCAGCUCAAAACUGGUACGGACAAGGGGAAUCCGACUGUUUAAUUAAAA
rnacentral:ncRNA from 1 species